rnacentral:rRNA from 1 species
CCAGACUCCUACGGGAGGCAGCAGUGGGGAAUAUUGCACAAUGGGGGGAACCCUGAUGCAGCGACGCCGCGUGGGUGAAGAAGUAUUUCGGUAUGUAAAGCCCUAUCGGCAGGGAAGAAAUUGGACGGUACCUGACUAAGAAGCCCCGGCUAACUACGUGCCAGCAGCCGCGGUAAUACGUAGGGGGCAAGCGUUAUCCGGAUUCACUGGGCGUAAAGGGAGCGCAGGCGACAUGGCAAGUCUGAUGUGAAAACCCGGGGCCCAACCCCGGGAGUGCAUUGGAAACUGCCAGGCUGGAGUGUCGGAGGGGUAAGCGGAAUUCCUAGUGUAGCGGUGAAAUGCGUAGAUAUUAGGAGGAACACCAGUGGCGAAGGCGGCUUACUGGGCGACUACUGACGCUGAGGCUCGAAAGCGUGGGGAGCAAACAGGAUUAGAUACCCUAGUAA